rnacentral:tRNA from 1 species
GGGCGCAUAGCUCAGUUGGUAGAGCACUGCCCUUACAAGGCAAUGGUCGGGGGUUCGAGUCCCUCUGCGCCCA